AUGAUAUGUUAUAUUCUUUUAAAAUAAAAUUUGAAACAAGUUAUUGGAAAAAAAUUAUUCCUAUUUUGGGUUUUGAAAUCUAAUAAAUUAGCAACCAUGCCAUCCACUACAAUUUAUCCUAUAUUAAAAUUUAAAAUUAUAGUUCAAUUUUUUUGUUUUCCAAAUUAUUGUUUUCUUUUAUUCUUCGUCUUAUUUUUCUUCUUAUUUCUUCGUCUUGUACUUUUUUUUUCUCUUUCGUUUCAUCUUUGUUUCUUUAUCCCAUUUUUUUGUUCUUAUGUUCUUUUUAUUCUCCACAUUAAAUCAAACAAUUCUCUGCAUUAAUCAACGUUAUCAUAAUAAAAAUUAAAGACUAUAACACAAUUAAAAAAAAAUCUUUAAAAUAAAAAAAGUGAAAUUUUUUGUCUCUUCUUCUUUCUUCUUCAUCUUCUUCGUUCCUUUCACUGUUCAUCUUCUUCUUCGUUUUUUUUUUUAACUUUAACCGCCCUUUCACACAUCUAACAACUCCAAAACCACUUUCAAAUCUAAUUUAUAUAAUCCUAUAAAGAGGCACUGAUUCGAUCGUGAUGGCCAAACUAUCACGCUUAGCUUACGGGACGAAUUGGUCCGAGUGGAGCAAGUACUAGUUAUUCGCGUGCAGCAACCAGACAAUUCAGGUCGCAUCGCCUGCCAAAAUGGAGAUGAGGUAAGCGAGAGAGGGAGGGGAUCUUAGAGGGGAAUGCAAAAGAUAUUAACCUAAAUAUGAUUAUUUAGCUAAGCAUAAUUGAAAUAAAAAUAAUUAUUAAAAUUAAAUUACUCAUAAUUAAAAGUAAUAAAAAUAAUUAAAAUUGAAAAUACAACUAAAUUUAUUUAUAAAAAUAAUUAUACAAAAUAUGAAAACACACCUAAAAAAUAAGAUUACUGAAAAAUUAAGAGAAAUUGAGAAGAAGAUAGAUGAUCAAAAACAAAAAAAUGAAGCUCUCUUUAAAAUAAAUAAAUUAAUAAUUCAAUGUUUUGCAAUUCAUCCUAAGCUUUAUGCAUACGCUCCUCACAACCAUUAGAUCAAGGUCUAAUGACUGGCCAAACUUUAAAAGUCAACAUUGCAUGUGUUAUCUUAUGAAGCGUCCGAUUUGGUUAAAGAAUGGUUGAGAUUUGGCGGGUUAAUGGUUGGAUCAGGUCGAUCCGAAUACAAAGAAUCAGAUCCUACAACUUGCUUUACUAAUUAUUACCACAUGGCACGAUCGUGGCCAUUGAAUCAUGAAUGGUUGAGACUUAAUCAAAAUUGCCAGCUAUCUAAUAUACCCAUAUCUAUUGUAAGUUCAUUUUAUCAUCCAAUCAGUGCUCGGUCAACAGAAAAGUUAAUUUUUUGCACAAGCUCAAUUUUAAGCCGGUCUUGACUCAUCUUAAGGUUUUCGGACCUUUGAAAUCCAAAUUUGACAUUUGUUUAUCUAGUUGGAGUCUCGAAUUACAUAAAAUUAAUAUUUUACCUAAUAAACACACAAAAAUAUAUAAAAUUAAAUAUAGUUAAGACAUAAUGAAUAAUCCUUAAUAUAUUGCAUAAACACAAAUAUAAAUUACAAUAUAAGCACAAAAUAAUAUUUUUAUCGUUUGAUAAUCAAACAAUUUUUAAUACUAAUUUAAUACUUAUUUAGAAUAUCAACAAAAGACUCUUCUAAUUUAACUCUUUAAAUACUUAUAUACUUAUCUUUUUGCCAAAUAGA
rnacentral:lncRNA from 1 species